CAAACUCUGAGACCAAAGUGAGAGGAUUUUUAAAUCUGUGCUCUGCCACUUAGAGAAAUUACUUCAAUUCUCUGUCCUUUAGGCUGCACACUUGUAAAAUGGGAGGAGGGAAAGCAAUAUUUGACUCAUGGAUUUUUAAGAUUGAGAUGUUAUUUCUUUAUAAUAAACAGCUGCUAUCAAUUCAGACCACUUGCUAUUUAGGCCCUUAGGAAUUUUUCACUAGAAGGCAUGUAAAGAAAGACGAGCAUUUGUAAUGGAUUUAACAUUCAUCAUUUGACUGCGUGACUGAUCCCCAGAGCUGUAAUUUUACUAACAAAUUUUUCGGAAGCCAGUUAGCAACUGAACCUCACCAGCCAGCCACCUUCAACAUUCAGUGCUCUUUUGUUCUUCUGUUUCUCCUCAAACUUGGUUACUCUCACAAAGUAUAUAAACUUGGAUUUCUUUUCUGUCCUUUUUCUUUGCUCCGUCACUCAGGCUGCAGUGCAGAAUCAUGGCUUGCUGUAGUUUCAAACUCAAUUCAUACUCCCACCUCAGCCUCCCAGGUAGCUGGGACUGCAGACGUACACCACCAUGCAAAGCUAAUUUUUUGAUUUUUUUGUUGUAGAGAUGGACUUAUGCUGUGUCACCCAGGAUGGUCUUUAACUCCUGGCCCCAAGUGGUCCUCUGGCCUCAGCCUCCCAAAGUUCUGGGAUUAUGUGCAGGGUCUUGCUCCGUUGUCCAGGCCAGUGGGGCUAUCCCAGCUGAUUGCAGCCGUGACCUCCCCAGUUCAAGCUGUCCUCCCAGCUCAGCUUCCAAAAUGGACGAGACUGUAGGUGCUUGCCACUAUACCCAACCAGUACUUGGACUUUUCCUAUAUGUGGGUUCCAGAGGGCUGACUGCAAAACGUGAGUAUGCAUGAAUUUGGGUAUAUGCAGAGAUGAGGGGCUGAAACUAAUCUCUGAAUACUGAGGGAUGGACUGUAUAUGUUUUACAGUCAUGCUGUAGGACUCAUAUUGUUCCAUAGCCUUGAAAGUGAUAGUUUUAAUGCCAAAUAAUUUUUAAUUGAGUGGAAUAAUAAUAAUAAAAGCAGCUGGCCAGGUGUGGUGGAUCA
rnacentral:lncRNA from 13 species